AAGCCAUCACCACCAACACCACAAGCAUGGAAUUCUACAUAAACUAUUCCUUG
rnacentral:tRNA from 1 species